rnacentral:rRNA from 1 species
GAUGAACGCUGGCGGCGUGCUUAACACAUGCAAGUCGAACGAAGCACUUUGAUUUCUUCGGAAUGAUUGGUGACUGAGUGGCGGACGGGUGAGUAACGCGUGGGUAACCUGCCUCACACAGGGGGAUAACAGUUAGAAAUGACUGCUAAUACCGCAUAAGACCACAGUACCGCAUGGUACAGUGAUAAAAACUCCGGUGGUGUGAGAUGGAACCGCGACUGAUUAGCUAGUUGGUGAGGUAACGGCUCACAAAUGCGACGAUCAGUAGCCGACCUGGGAGGGUGACCGGCCACAUUGGGACUGAGACACGGCCCAAACUCCUACGGGAGGCAGCAGUGGGGAAUAUUGCACAAUGGGCGAAAGCCUGAUGCAGCGACGCCGCGUGAAGGAUGAAGUAUUUCGGUAUGUAAACUUCUAUCAGCAGGGAAGAAAAUGACUGUACCUGACUAAGAAGCCCCGGCUAACUACGUGCCAGCCGCCGCCGUAAAAC